UAGGGAAUUUUUUCACAAUGAGCGAAAGCUUGAUGGAGCAAUGCCGCGUGAACGAUGUAGGUCUUUAAGAUUGUAAAGUUCUUUUAUUUGGGAAGAAUGACUUUAGCAGGUAAUGGCUAGAGUUUGACUGUACCAUUUUGAAUAAGUGACGACUAACUAUGUGCCAGCAGUCGCGGUAAUACAUAGGUCGCAAGCGUUAUCCGGAUUUAUUGGGCGUAAAGCAAGCGCAGGCGGAUUGAAAAGUCUGGUGUUAAAGGCAGCUGCUUAACAGUUGUAUGCAUUGGAAACUAUUAAUCUAGAGUGUGGUAGGGAGUUUUGGAAUUUCAUGUGGAGCGGUGAAAUGCGUAGAUAUAUGAAGGAACACCAGUGGCGAAGGCGAAAACUUAGGCCAUUACUGACGCUUAGGCUUGAAAGUGUGGGGAGCAAAUAGGAUUAGAUACCCUAGUAGUCCACACCGUAAACGAUAGAUACUAGCUGUCGGGGCGAUCCCCUCGGUAGUGAAGUUAACACAUUAAGUAUCUCGCCUGGGUAGUACAUUCGCGAGAAUG
rnacentral:rRNA from 1 species